CAGCAUAAGCUCUGUGGCGACAUGGUCUUUUUCACCGUGAUAUUGCCAGUGCUUAGAACAGUACCUAGCAUGGAGCGGGGGAGCAAAGAAGAUGUAUUGAAUAAGUUAGCAACAGAAUAGUUCAUUUUGGACAACACUGAAUAUUGUACAGGGGGCCCUUGAUCGGCAGAGCACAC